CGCGGGGUGGAGCAGCACGGUAGCUCGUCGGGCUCAUAACCCGAAGGUCGCAGGUUCAAAUCCUAUCCCCGCAA
rnacentral:tRNA from 1 species